CACGCAAUAAAGAAAAACGGAACAUCUCUCUCAUAGUCUCGACCUACAGGGAAAAACUACUUCUCACGCCUCUAUCUCGAGCUUCUUUUUACAUCUAUUUCCGCAAACCGACACGCAUUUUUAAGACAAAAAGGGAAUCGCGUGAUAGUGUUAGGGGCAGGGAACACUUAGGGUCCCCUUGCCCUGUUUCCCUGUGGCGGAACCACUAUCACAGUAACACUCGGGCUCCCACCCCCACAGGGGAGGGAGUUCACUGAUGCACGGGCGGAAGCUAUGGGUCCACGUUGCUCAAAUGAGUGAGGAACGUGCCAACAGGCUGCUUCCAAUUUGCGCCCUUUCUUCUCUGCCCCAGAACCACGCAGUGUCGGAGGCAGCGGUCUCUGAGAAGCGUAACUUUUCCCUGGGGGGGGGGGGGGGGGGGGGGGGGGCGCUGGGUCCAGGAAGAUGCGCUUCUAAGCUCCAUCUUCCAAGAAGGUUUCAUCAGCAACAAAGCUGAUGUUUUCGUCUCCAUCUGUCUGACUUUCUGCCUAUCCGAUUAUCUCCCCAGGUAAGCUCCAUGAUUUAAUUGGCUAGAGAUCUAACCAACUGUCCUGCUCAUUCCGCUGAACUUAUUAAAGCUGGUAAGAACUCCAGCAGGGAACGGACCCAGGCAGUCAAGAAGACACAGCCUGCGAUCUCAAACGGACACGCUGAUCUGUAUUCACUGAUGGAAUGCCAGGUAGCCGUUAGAGAUGAUGGCAUAUCACUGACACGGAAAAAUAUUUGUGAUUUCUUGUUACAUAAAAGUAUAUAAUGCAACAUAGCAUGUCCAGUGUAGUGGUGAUUUGGUAGCACACAUUCACAUACCAACAUGGGAUUUUUCUGAAAUUAACAUGGAUUCCUUUUGGGAUCAGAACUAGACGCAAACACUUAUUUGUAAGCCUUCUAUGAGUGGUUAAUGACAUCAUACAGUAAAAGCAAGAAUGAAAGGUGUCAGUUGCAUAUGUUAUAAAAUAGUGAUCUCCAAU